UAACUGGUUUGUUGAAUUAAUUCGAGUUUUGUAGCUAUUAGAAACAAUGGUAAAGAACUGUGGGGAUUACGUUCACUUCCAAAUUGCCGAGAGGAAUGUAUUAGGGGAGAUGAUCAAAAUUUUGAAGAAGAAGGCAGAUAUGCAAGUGAGGGAGAAAAUCUUGGUCUUGCUUGACUCUUGGCAAGAAGCUUUUGGUGGGCCUGGAGGAAAGCAUUCUCAAUAUUAUUGGGCAUAUGAUUAAUUAAGGCGUUCUGGAGUAGAAUUUCCCAAGCGUUCAUUAGACGUCGUCCCUAUUUUUACACCCCUGCUUCACAUCAGACCAUGGGUUGUCCUCAACCUGGAUAUGGAAUGCCUAGCAAUGCUUCAAGAAGGCUUGAUGAAACUAUGGCUACAGAAAUUGAGAGUUUGAGCUUGUCAAGCAUGGAGGCUAUGCAAAAUGUUCUAGAACUCCUAAGUGACAUGCUACAGGUAGUAA